rnacentral:piRNA from 1 species
UGGGAAUGUCACAAGUUUUUCAGCUUAGGA